rnacentral:misc_RNA from 1 species
AGUUAUUCAAGCUGAGCAUCGUUACCUUGACCAUGUCGAACUCGACGGAGCAGGCGCUACUGCAGAUUGCACAGCAGAUCGAGCGCGCCGUCGAUGACGAAAUCGACCGCAUCGAUCAGAUGGACGAUGACGAGAUUCUCGCCAUUCGUCAGAAAAGGCUGAAGCAACUGAAGGAGAUUCAGGCCCGUCGUGACGAGUGGCUCCGCAAGGGCCAUGGGCAGUACCUAGAGGUUGCGGAGCCAAAGGAGUUUUUUGAUAACGUGAAGAGCUCGGAGCGGAUUGUUGUCCAUUUCAUGCGACGCAGUACCCCUCGCUGUGAAAUCAUUGAACGGCAUCUGCGCACGAUUGCCCACGAGCACUUUGAGACUCGCUUUUGUUAUGUUGACGUUGAGCGCGUUCCGUCUCUCCCAGAACGCUUCAACGUGAUGAUGCUCCCAACCUUAAUGCUUGUGGAGAAGGGACACACAUUCCACAGCAUCAUCGGCUUCGACGAGUUUGGCGGGACUGACGAUUUUACUACCGAUACAGUUACCCAGGUUUUGGCGCACUACGGUAUGGUCAACGACAAGGGGAUGUUUGCUGCAGACCAGAAUGAUGAAUAGAGAUACCCGGUGCUCUUAACUUCUCGUGGACCUUAGAUGAAUGUUAGCUCGAAACAAAAACGAAAGAAACCUAUUCAAUGCCGAGUAUGUUCUUUUUUUUUUCGUACGUGUGCGUUCGUGCGACACAUUAAACAAUAUACCCGAAACUAUUUUCGGCUAGGUCUUCUGGAGAUCGCAAGGAAAAGGCGCCGCUACUUUCGCUUUGUGCUUUCUGCGCAUAUGCGCCCCGAUAACCUUCGCUCUGGUUUCUCUCCCCUCUUCCCAUUUCAUCAUACUCAG